rnacentral:rRNA from 1 species
GACGAACGCUGGCGGCGUGCUUAACACAUGCAAGUCGAACGGAAAGGCCCCUUUGGGGGUACUCGAGUGGCUAACGGGCGAGUAACACGUGAGUAACCUGCCCUUGACUUCGGGAUAACUUCAGGAAACUGGGGCUAAUACCUGCUAGGAAUGCUUGCUGCAUGCUGGGGGUUGGAAAGCUUCGGGGGGUUUGGAUGGACUCGCGGGUUAUCAGCUUGUUGGUGGGGUAGUGGGUUACCAAGGCUUUGUCGGGUAGCCGGCCUGCGAGGGCGACCGGCCACAUUGGGAAUUAGAUACGGCCCAGACUCCUACGGGAGGGAACAGUGGGGAAAAUUGGACCAUGGGCGGGAGCCUGAUGCAGGAACGGCGCGUGCGGGAUGACGGCCUUCGGGUUGUAAACCGCUUUCAGCAGGGGAGAAGCUUGUGGUGACGGUACCUGCAGAAGAAGCACCGGCUAACUACGUG